GACGUAGGGGGCCAGCGUUGUUCGGAAUUACUGGGUGUAAAGGGCGCGUAGGCGGUCAGCACAAGUCAGUUGUGAAAUCUCCGGGCUUAACUCGGAAAGGUCAACUGAUACUGUGCGACUAGAGUGCAGAAGGGGCAACUGGAAUUCUCGGUGUAGCGGUGAAAUGCGUAGAUAUCGAGAGGAACACCUGCGGCGAAGGCGGGUUGCUGGGCUGACACUGACGCUGAUGCGCGAAAGCCAGGGGAGCGAACGGG
rnacentral:rRNA from 1 species